rnacentral:rRNA from 1 species
UACGAAGGGUGCAAGCGUUACUCGGAAUUACUGGGCGUAAAGCGUGCGUAGGCGGUUUGUUAAGUCCGCUGUGAAAGCCCUGGGCUCAACCCUGGGAAUUGCAGUGGAUACUGGCAAGCUAGAGUGCGGUAGAGGAUGGUGGAAUUCCCGGUGUAGCGGUGAAAUGCGUAGAGAUCGGGAAGAACACCUAUGGCGAAGGCAGCUCUCUGGGACGGUACUGACGGCUGAGACGCGAAAGCGUGGGGGAGCGAACAGG